rnacentral:rRNA from 1 species
UCUAUACUGCAGUCGAACGAUAUUCCGUCGCGCUAAUCUGAGAUUAGUGCUUGUGCAAGAUGAUAUUGUAUCCGACUGAGUGACUGACUGAUGAGUGACUCGUGGGUAACCUGCCUAGAAGAAGGGGAUAACACCUGGAAACAGAUGCAAGCACCGUAUAUCUACCAGAGCCACCUGGUUCUUGUUUGAUAGCUGGACUUUGUGCUAGUGCUUCUGAAUGGACCCGCGGCGUAUUAACUAGUUGGUGAGAUAAUAGCUCACCAAGGCCAUGAUACCUAGCACACCUGAAAGGAUAGUCUGCCACAAUGGGACUGAAACACGGCCCAUACUCCUACGGGAGGCAGCAGUAGGGAAUCUUCCACAAUGGACGAAAGUCUGAUGGAACAACGCCCCGUGAGUGAAGAAGGGUUUCCGCUCGUAAAACUCUGUUGUUAGAGAAGAACAGCCGUGAGAGCUACUGCUCACGGUAUGACGGUAUCUAACCAGAAAGUCACGGCUAACUACGUGCCACAGCCGCGGUAAUACCUAAGUGGCAAACGUUGUCCGGAUUUAUUGGGCGUAAGGGAGCGCAGGCGGUUUAUUAAGUCUGAUGUGAAGCCUUCCGCUUAACCGGAGAAUGCAUCGGAAACUGAUAAACUUGAGUGCGAAAAAGAAGUGGAACUUCUGUGUAACGGUGAAAUGCCUAGAAUAUGAAGGAACCCAGUGGCUAAAGCCGCUAUCUGGUCUGUAACUGACGCUGACGCUCCAAACUGGGUAGCAAACAGAUUAAUACCCUGGUAUCCUGCCGUAACGAUGAAGCUAGGGUUGGAAGGGUCCGCCCCUCCCUGCCCCGCCACGCUUAAGCAUUCCCCUGGGGAUUCGACGCAAGGAGAUAUACGGGGACCCGCGCAAGCGGUGGAGCACAUGGGGUAAAUUUAUGAUACGCGAAAAACCCUACCACAGGUUGACAUAUUCUGUCAAUAUAACAGAUUAGACGCUCCCCUCGGGGGCACAAUGACACGUGGGGCGCAGGGGUCGUCAGAGCGUGUCUUGAGAUAUUGGGGUAAGUGCCCCGACGAGCGCGACCCCUGUCUUUAGAUGCCAGCGCUUACAUGGGCGCUCUAUAGAGACUGCCCGGGAUAAACCCCAGAAAAGUGGGGAUAACGUCUAAUCUUCACGCGCCCUAUGUCCCGGGGUACACACGCGUGACAAUAGGGCAUACAACGAGAUGCGAAACCGCGAGAUCGAGAGAAUAUCUUAAAAUCGUUGUCACAUCGGAUUGCAGUGUGCGAAUCUCGUGCACAAAGAGGGAAUCGCUAGUGAUCGUGGAUCAGCACGCCCCGGGGAAUACGCUUCCGGGUGUUGUGCACACCGCCCCUCUCACCAUAAGAGAGUGUGACACCCAAAAUCGCGGGGAUGACCCUUUUAGGAGUCAGCCGCCUAAGGGGGACAGAUGAUUAGGGUGAAGUCGUAACAAGGGUGACCGGAGAACC